CAGGUGCUGGGAAGGAUGGAGCCCAGCUCCCUGGGACCCGCCAGAGAGGAACUCCUGUUUACUUGGAUUCAGAGAGGCUGGGAUCCUUGGGAGAGGAAAGGAAAUCAGCUGAAGAGGUCAAUCACAAACUGAUCAGAACACUGGCUUCCAGCUCUCCCAGACUGAGAAUCCUGGAGCUUCUCUUCAUCUUGACGCCGUGGCCAGGAGCCAGCGCCCUCCACCACACCUGCCCUCUCUGGUCCACUCCAUCUCUGCCAAGUGGCUCUGCAAAGAGGUUAAAUAAGCAACCACGAUCAGCUGGCUUUCCCAGAAAGGUACCUCCUGCUGUGCUCUUUGCCCCAGGAAAACCACUCUGCAAGGGCCUGAUGGUUCACUGAUGACUCAGAAGGGAGCGGAGGUGCUCUGGGAAAAGCACCAUUCAUGUCCUUCCUGGGCCAUUUACAAAACAGAGGGAGAUAACUUGGAAGAAAGAACCUGGAAAGUGGCCUGGCAUAAAGCACGUGAAUCACUGAGCACUAUUAAAAUGUAAAAGGUCAAAUUACUCCUGCCUUAGGUGAUGAUAUAAACAAAUUAAGGGAGAUAAGCAGACUGAAACACAUUGUUGAGACGGUUUAUCCGGGCAGAGAAAAGCAGGUGGAACCAAGCUGCCUUUGGUCAAGCUUUAGCACAAAUUAGAGGUGAUUUUGAAUCAUCUUAGAAACUGCUCAAUUGGGUGAGUUUUAAAUGGAAACCUAAACUUCCUUAGUUGAAGUCUUCAUUUCACCCAAUGACAGCUUCAUUGUUUUGUCACCUCCAUCCUCCCAGCUUCUGCUAAGCCAUAAACACCAUGGAGACAGGAACGAUGGUAUUUUUCAUUAUUACACCUCCAGUGUCCAACAUAGAACCUGGCACGUAAUGGAAAUUAGACAAAUGUUGACUUGAUGGAUGAAGGUAUAAGUGGAUGAGUGAAGGGUCAGAUGAAUGAAUGGCAAGACAGACCCAAGACCUGUGGCUGGAUAAGUGGAUGCAGCCACAGUAUGAUAGAAUUUUACUGUGAUGUGGCUGUUAGUACCUUCUCACGGUGAACUGAAUGUUUGCUGAGCUAAUCUGGAAGAAAAUCUCAACAAUGGAUUGGUUUUGAAAAAACAGAAAUGUAAGACCUUUACUUAAGCAUUAACUCAUUGCUUUUCUUUCAAUUUAGUUAUCUUUUUUCUUCAGUGAUGAUAUGCAUUUCAAAUAGAUAUGAUUGACAUUCUUUAGAAGGAUCCUGGUCAAACCUCCAGCCAUAGGAACUGCCCAGUCUGGACUCCAUGCCAGGGAUUUGGCAUCUUUUUAGCCCCCAAUACACCUCAAUACCCCCUAAGAGGUGUCCCUGUACCUUUGUCCCCAACUUGGGACUCCUGGGACAAAGAACAUGAUUUCUGUCCCUCCAGGGACUCUCCUAAGAGGUCAAAUGAAUUCUACUUGUGAGAGUAGAUAGACUAGACAGACUGGAUGGACAGCCUGCUAGUAGGGCUGUGGACAAUGCCUCAAGUUGCCUCCUAAUAGUGGACUUUGGCAACAAACUGGUAAAGGAGGCAUUCUCUGCACUAGCUGUUCUCCCCGGCCUUCUUUGCUGGGCCUGCUAAUCAAGUCUCUUUCUGCUCCGCUUUCUCUCCUGGGCUGACAUCCUGAAGUCACGAGGGCCCUGACCAGCUACUCCACGGUCAUUCCCGCUCUGCUACCCACCACUGGCCUGCCUCUCCCUGAAUUCUUGUUACUCAGACUUAUCUAUCUGCCCUGAUCCAGCUCAGUGCUGCCAAGGUCCAGGGUAUGGUUGGUUAGUUCUAAUAGAAUGCUCUGCAUAGUACCAAACUGAAAUCUUCCUGUGGUAACACCACCUCUUGGCUCUGUUUUCACUCCCUGAAGCAACAGUGAAUAAAUCUACUCCAUCUUCUGCAUGAGGUUCCUCCAGUGUUUGAAGACAACCUUGAAAACAACUAACACGUCCCCUUAAGACUUCUCUCUAGGCUGACAGCUCCAGUCCUGGCAAAGUUUCCUCGGGGUUCUUGCUUUCCAACCCACACUAUUCUAGACAUUUUCUGGUUUGUCAAAUUUACCCUCAAAUAUUCUUUCAUAAGACUGAUGAACUGUUCCGAUUUGAAGGAGACCAAGGAGACACAACAACUAUUAAUAACUGCUGUGUGGAAGCCUGGCUCCAGGCCUGGUACAGAAAAGUGUUAUGAGUGGGACCAUUGAGCUAACUUCAGUAGGACUUGCAAACGAGUUAACAGGAUCAAUGUUAAUUUUCUGGUAUUGAUCAUUGUACUCCACCUACAGCAGAUGUUAACAUUUGGGAGAGCUGGGUGAAGCAUACACAAGAAUUCUUUUUUUUUUUUUUUCCAUUUAUUUUUAUUAGUUAGAGGCUAAUUAUUUUACAAUAUUGUAGUGAUUUUUGCUAUACAUUGACAUGAAUCAGCCAUGGAUUUACAUGUAUUUCCCAUCCCGAUCCCCCCUCCCACCUCCCUCUCUACCCGAUCCCUCUGGGUCUUCCCAGUGCACCAGGCCCGAGCACUUGUCUCAUGCAUCCAACCUGGGCUGGUGAUCUGUUUCACCCUAGAUAAUAUACAUGUUUCGAUGCUGUU